UUAGCAUACGAAAAAGUUUUGCUCAAAGAAGAAGAGGAAAUGGAGUUUCAGGUGGAUGAUGAGGCAGAUUCAUUGGGGGUUGAAAACUUUGAUCUGGACCGUGGAUUCUACAAUGGCUGGGACAUCAUAGAGUUUGAGGGAUUUGAUAGCUCUGAAUGGAGUCAAGAAUGAUGUCUAUUUAUGUGUUACUUGACAAACGUCCAUGGAGAUAAGAAGGCGUUUGGAAAUAUGCAGUUUUUUGAGCACCUUGUAUAAUCUGGAGCAAUUCACCUGUCUUACUCCUGGUGACAAGGAAAUCAAGUGGAAGGAGUGGGCUUUCAUUAUCCUCUCCUACCAAAGGCAAGUCAUUUGGCUAUUGUACAGUAACAUUAGGCUUCUUACCCUUUUUCUUAUUUUUCUUAAUUUUUUUUUUUAUGGGUGAAGGGGGGGAGGGGGGAUAUAUACAGACUCUGCAAAUGAAAUUAGCAACGUUUUGGCUUCAUUUGCUUUUUGUAGGGAUGUUGGUACAUGUAACUCCCAUUUUGAAAUCAUAUAGAGUUUCAUUCAAUGACUGAAUCAGACCUCACUCAGCCUUGCUUGUUUGUUUUUAAUCAUUAAAAUGAAAAUUUUGCUUCUUGUUUUAAAUGAGGUUGAGAGACCCCGCAGUGUAUGUUUGGUUAUGGUUGAUCAAAAGCUUUAUAAAUCAUCACUGAUGUGGGUGGAUAUUUG